rnacentral:rRNA from 1 species
CCCUUCGAUGUUCUGGGCCGCACGCGCGCUACACUGAUGGAAGCAACGAGUUUCAUUCCUUGGUCGAGAGAUCCGGGUAAUCUUUUAACUUUCAUCGUGAUGGGGAUAGAUCAUUGUAAUUUUUGGUCUUAAACGAGGAAUGCCUAGUAAGCGCGAGUCAUCAACUCGCGUUGAUUCCGUCCCUGCCCUUUGUACACACCGCCCGUCGCUCCUACCGACGAAUGGUCCGGUGAAAUCCUCGGAUGACGAUGCUUAAACUGUUGGCAGCAAUGUCACGGUAGCGUUGUCAGAAGUUGCUUAAACCUUAUCAUUUGGAGGAAGGAGAAGUCGUAACA